CAUACAAGGUGUUUAUGCACACAAAUACCAUCUUUACAUGCCAUGAUAAAAAAUAUCAACUCAUAUCCCCCCAAAAAAACAAUCGUACUAUCAUGCUUUACCAGCUUGUUACCCGGCACGGUAAGUUGUCUGCCUGGAACAGGAUAAGCCGGCAAAUUCUCUAGUAACUCAUCGGUAUAGUUCACGUUUUAGCGGUCUGCAUCCAGUUCUUGCUCACCCACAGCUAUAGCCCC
rnacentral:lncRNA from 1 species